UAAUACGUAGGGUGCGAGCGUUGUCCGGAAUUAUUGGGCGUAAAGAGCUCGUAGGCGGUUUGUUGCGUCGGCCGUGAAAACCUGCAGCUUAACUGUGGGCCUGCGGUCGAUACGGGCAGACUUGAGUUCGGUAGGGGAGACUGGAAUUCCUGGUGUAGCGGUGAAAUGCGCAGAUAUCAGGAGGAACACCGGUGGCGAAGGCGGGUCUCUGGGCCGAUACUGACGCUGAGGAGCGAAAGCGUGGGGAGCGAACAGGAUUAGAUACCCUGGUAGUCCACGCUGUAAACGUUGGGCGCUAGGUGUGGGGAGCAUUCCACGUUCUCCGUGCCGUAGCUAACGCAUUAAGCGCCCCGCCUGGGGAGUACGGCCGCAAGGCUA
rnacentral:rRNA from 1 species